rnacentral:ncRNA from 2 species
CAUCCAUCGAGACCGGCUGAGGGACAGGCCCUUUGAAGCCGGGGCAACCCAGCACCGCGCAAGCGGUGCGAAGGUGCCAAUUCCUGCGGAUGACCGGUGCGCCGGUCUCCGGAAGAUGGGUG